rnacentral:rRNA from 1 species
CCUACGGGUGGCAGCAGUGAGGAAUAUUGGUCAAUGGACGGAAGUCUGAACCAGCCAUGCCGCGUGCAGGAAGACGGCUCUAUGAGUUGUAAACUGCUUUUGUACAAGGGUAAACCUGAAUACGUGUAUUCAGCUGAAAGUACUGUACGAAUAAGGAUCGGCUAACUCCGUUCCAGCAGCCGCGGUAAUACGGAGGAUCCAAGCGUUAUCCGGAUUUCUUGGGUUUAAAGGGUGCGGAGGCGGAUUGAUAAGUUAGAGGUGAAAUGUCCGAGCUUAACUCGGGAACUGCCUCUAAUACUGUUGAUCUAGAGAGUAGAUGCGGUAGGCGGAAUGUAUGGUGUAGCGGGGAAAUGCUUAGAGAUCAUACAGAACACCGAUUGCGAAGGCAGCUUACCAAUCUAUAUCUGACGUUGAGGCACGAAAGCGUGGGGAGCAAACAGGAUUAGAUACCCGGGUAGUC